UACGGAGGAUGCAAGCGUUAUCCGGAUUCAUUGGGUUUAAAGGGUGCGUAGGCGGAAUAAUAAGUCAGUGGUGAAAGCCUGUGGCUCAACCAUAGAAUUGCCAUUGAUACUGUUAUUCUUGAGUAUAGUUGAAGUGGGCGGAAUGUGUAAUGUAGCGGUGAAAUGCUUAGAUAUUACACAGAACACCAAUUGCGAAGGCAGCUCACUAAGCUGUUACUGACGCUGAGGCACGAAAGCGUGGGGAGCAAACAGGAUUAGAUACCCUGGUAGUCCACGCUGUAAACGAUGAUCACUCGUUGUUGGCGAUACACCGUCAGCGACUGAGCGAAAGCAAUAAGUGAUCCACCUGGGGAGUACGGCGGCAACGCUGAA
rnacentral:rRNA from 1 species